AGUUUGAUCCUGGCUCAGAGUGAACGCUGGCGGCAUGCCUAACACAUGCAAGUCGAACGGUAACAGGCCCGCAAGGGUGCUGACGAGUGGCGGACGGGUGAGGAAUACAUCGGAAUUUGCCCAGUCGUGGGGGAUAACGUAGGGAAACUUACGCUAAUACCGCAUACGACCUAACGGUGAAAGCGGGGGAUCGCAAGACCUCGCGCGGAUGGAUAAGCCGAUGUCGGAUUAGCUAGUUGGCGGGGUAAAGGCCCACCAAGGCGACGAUCCGUAGCUGGUCUGAGAGGAUGAUCAGCCACACUGGGACUGAGACACGGCCCAGACUCCUACGGGAGGCAGCAGUGGGGAAUAUUGGACAAUGGGGGCAACCCUGAUCCAGCAAUGCCGCGUGUGUGAAGAAGGCCUUCGGGUUAUAAAGCACUUUUAUCAGGAACGAAACACGCAGGUUUAAUACGUCUGCGGACUGACGGUACCUGAGGAAUAAGCACCGGCUAACUUCGUGCCAGCAGCCGCGGUAAUCAAUCGCC
rnacentral:rRNA from 1 species